GAUGAACGCUAGCGAUAGGCCUAACACAUGCAAGUCGAGGAGUAGCACAGAGUAGCAAUACUUGGGUGACGACCGGCGCACGGGUGAGUAACACGUAUGCAACCUACCUAUAACAGGGAGAUAACCCGGAGAAAUCCGGACUAAUACCCCAUAACACAGGGAUGCCGCAUGGCAAUAUUUGUUAAAGAUUAAUCGGUUAUAGAUGGGCAUGCGUUCCAUUAGCCAGUUGGUGAGGUAACGGCUCACCAAAGCAACGAUGGAUAGGGGAACUGAGAGGUUUGUCCCCCACACUGGAACUGAGACACGGACCAGACUCCUACGGGAGGCAGCAGUGAGGAAUAUUGGUCAAUGGGCGAGAGCCUGAACCAGCCAAAUCGCGUGAAGGAAGACUGCCCUACAGGUUGUAAACUUCUUUUAUAGGGGAAUAAAAAAGGGAACGAGUUCCCUAUUGUAUGUACCCUAUGAAUAAGCAUCGGCUAACUCCGUGCCAGCCGCCGCCGUAA
rnacentral:rRNA from 1 species